ACGCGUGGGAACCUGCCUUUUCUGCGGGAUAACGGUUGGAAACGACCGCUAAUACCGCAUACGCCCUACGGGGAAAGGUCCGCCGGAAAAGAGGGCCCGCGUCUGAUUAGCUUGUUGGUAGGGUAAUGGCCUACCAAGGCGACGAUCAGUAGCUGGUCUGAGAGGAUGAUCAGCCACACUGGGACUGAGACACGGCCCAGACUCCUACGGGAGGCAGCAGUGGGGAAUAUUGGACAAUGGGGGCAACCCUGAUCCAGCAAUGCCGCGUGUGUGAUGAAGGCCUUAGGGUUGUAAAGCACU
rnacentral:rRNA from 1 species